rnacentral:rRNA from 1 species
UGGGGAAUAUUGCACAAUGGGCGCAAGCCUGAUGCAGCCAUGCCGCGUGUAUGAAGAAGGCCUUCGGGUUGUAAAGUACUUUCAGCAGUGAGGAAGGGGAUAUCGUUAAUAGCGGUAUUCUUUGACGUUAGCUGCAGAAGAAGCACCGGCUAACUCCGUGCCAGCAGCCGCGGUAAUACGGAGGGUGCGAGCGUUAAUCGGAAUUACUGGGCGUAAAGCGCAUGCAGGUGGUUUGUUAAGUCAGAUGUGAAAGCCCGGGGCUCAACCUCGGAAUUGCAUUUGAAACUGGCAGGCUAGAGUACUGUAGAGGGGGGUAGAAUUUCAGGUGUAGCGGUGAAAUGCGUAGAGAUCUGAAGGAAUACCGGUGGCGAAGGCGGCCCCCUGGACAGAUACUGACACUCAGAUGCGAAAGCGUGGGGAGCAAACA